AGGAGGGGCAUGGCCUUUACCCAGGACCGUCUCUUUUUCAAAAUGGAAAGUCUUUCUUUUUCCUUUUCAGAAAAUGUUAGCGGAUGCGAGGAACCACCCGAGGCCAGGUAAAUGCACAGCUGUCAGUGCUCUGUCCAGAGACAAGAGGGAAUGAACUUCCUGAAGGAAUCCUGGUUCCGUUGUCCUUGGACUCUACUACUUUGCUGGACCAGUAACAAUGACAUCUGCUGGGAACUUGCUAGAAUGCAGCAUCAGGCCUUACCCUGUUCUUCAGGAAGCAGAUAGACCUCCAAAUCGUUUAUCUGCAGUCAAAAUCUGCAAGGGCUGUCUCAAAAAGGAAGCCCAAACACCCAAAAGGAUACUUCUUCACCAGUGACUGAAGGAUCAGGGAGCCAGAACCCAUAGGCCUGGGCAGCAAUGUGGCAGCAUCCACCGCAGUAGGUAGAAAGGAGGCCCCGUGGAGACUGGCUCAACCUGGGCCAACCGCGGCCAGGGUGGGCAGGCGGGAGGUUGUAUGUGCUGCUCCAUGAGUGUGCUGUGUGCAGCCUGGGAACCUGGGAGGAGCUAUGUCCACCACAGCCCUCAUUGCUCCUGCUCCUAGAAAGAAGCAGGCUUUAGAUGUUAACAAUCUCCAUGGAGAAACCAGCUUAUAUAUAAUAGGCUCUUGGUCAUGCUGCUGGAGUGAUACUACAGGCUCGCUUUCCUUUUUGUUGUUGAGAAGCAAAUCCAGGGACUCCCAUAUGUGAUCAGGACCUCUCCUGUGAAAUGUUGAUACUUGGUUGCUAUUGUUGGGGCUGGGCCUUGAGGAAUUCCCGGAGUGUGUUCCUCAACUCCACAGGUAGAAUUCAAUACUACAAGAGAAGGUGAUUAGUGAGCCUAGCCUUGGGUUUUGUUUCUUUCCCAUAUCCCUCUGCUUUCUCCCGUGAAGUAGUAUGAUCCUUCCCCCAAUGUCAUGUUCACGGGUUUCCUGUCCUGAAUCAUGAGCGACAUUUUCCAUUCUCUAGCGCUGCCCCCACCACACUAUGUUUUGGCUUUUGUUUUUGUUUUUAAUGGUUUUGAUGAACUUUUGAUUCUCUUGCGUUAGCCUCCUAAGCCCUGGGAUUUCAGGCCUGAAUCACCAUAUUGUGCUAGACCUCUGUAUACUCUGUUCUGGCAACAGAAGAUGGGCUAAGACGAAAAACGAGUGUGUAUGGAUUCCUAUACUUGUUCUUGUUUUUUUUGUUUUGUUUUGUUUUGUUUUGUUGUUGUUGUUCUUCCCUUCGGUGCUCAUGUUCCCACUCUGCCAGUGCCCUCAUUUGAAUUCCUUGAAAUGAUUGGGCUCCCUUCAAUGGUCACAUUCAAACGCUGACCUGUUUAAGUACCUGAGAUCAAAGGUUUCUUUUGGGGCCAGUCAUGGGGGCACAAGCCUGUAGAUCCCAGUAUUUGAAAGGCUGAGACAGGAGGAUCUCAAGUUUGCGAUCAGCCUAGGUUAUAUAUUGUCUCAAAACAAAGCAAAACCCCUCUUUGGUCCUUCACCGGAGCCUGAAAUCCUGAACAGCUUGAGCCAUCUAGAUGUUUAUUCUCUUUUGAAUAGUUACACCGUUUGUGUGGCUUUUAUGGGGAGCCACCUCAAACACUUUUUUGGAAGUGGGUGUGGUAUAAAUAAUAAAUAAAUGAGUGAAUAUCUGGAA